GAAUAUUUGGCUGUCGGGAAAUUGGACGCAUUAAAUGUUUCCGUCCCCUUACAAGAAAUUUAAAUGGUACACCUUGGUGACAGAAUUUUGCCCGUUGAUCAGACAGAAACAGUAAAUGCGGUUGUGGCGUCCUCUAAACUCAAAUGGGUUAGGCUGGAAAACUGCAGGUAUAUUAUAGCCUUUAUCACUACGCGUUCAUAAUAUUUUACGUGAGAUGAUGUCAGCGCAACAUUGACACUAGUGAUAAAAAUUGUUCCUCGUUUACAGUUAAUUAUUAUUAUUUUUUAUUAAUAUUAAUAUUACUAGAUAUGUAUACAUUUUUGUUUAUAUUUAUCCUUAUAGUUUUGUAUUUAUAAUAUUUAUUAAUAUUGUUUUUGCUGAAUGAUAGAGCCAUAUUAUGCAAGUAAUUGUGGUAUAGUAGCGCACUAUUUGUUUUCCUCAUUUGAUCCACAAACGACAUGUGACUGGUUAAGUUUGUUAAUAGAUCAAUUCACUCGAAUGCGUCUUAAGCUAACAACGCGAGUUUGGUUUUGAUGAACACAAAUUUGCUAUGUUGCGCGUGGGUGAAAGAGAGGUAAACAACCAGUGCGCUGACAUCCUCUUCAUUUCCAACUCUAUAUUUAAAUCGAAAUCGUAGUCAAAUUCGCCAGAUAUAAUUAUUUAGAUGCGUAUAAUUUUGAUUUGAUUUCUGACUUCUGAGUGGUACGCGACGAGAACAGUAGUUAUCCGUUUCGGUGUUUUACGGAUGAUUUUAUUAUUAUGAUUCUUUUGAGAAGAAAACUCUAUCCGAGACAGUUCCCUGCUCCCUUUGUACUAAAUGACCUCAAACUCCAGAUUUAGAGUUUUUUUUUGUACGAGCGGAUUGGAAUGAUAAAAGUCGGGGCGAAAUUAAAUAUGAACAUUUAAUCUUGCUGUCGCGGGUAAAAGUUUUUGUUUUACCUUUGUACACCUCCUACAAACGAAGUCAACUGAAGUUAGAGAGAUGUAAUUUUAUCUAUGCAUGGUGUUACAGUAUCAAACAUGUGCCUUUUGUGAGUUUCAAGUUUCAACCGUCAUUCCUAUAAUUUCUAUGAUCAAAUUUCACAAUAACUUUAUUAUAGUAUUGUAUUAUUAUAUUAUUCGGUUAUUUAUUGUUUUGCAAAGACUCUAUAGUGACGGUGCUCUGUUGUUCCCUGGUGCUAUUUUUCAUCAGCCUUUUUUUUCGGAUAUGAAACGGAUAAAAAAUAAAAUGACAAAUAAUUAUCGUUUUUUAAACCUGAUUAUAGUUUUCUAAAAUUAAAACGAAAUAAUGUUUAAACAUUUUCACAACAAAGAAACAUAAUUUAUAGGUUUGACUAAUCUUUUUAACUUGAAUUUGUAUAAUUACUAUAGGUAUAUAAAUAUGUGUGUUAACGCUUGGUAUCUACCUAAAUUUAUUCCUAUUGUACGUGACAGUUCAAUAUAUAAUAUGAUGAAAAAAAAUGUCCGAAAAAAAUGGUUAGGGAAUUUAGUCCCUCAGUUAGUCACCACAGUUCGUUACGGCUAUGCUACGCCUACACCUGUUUGAAAAAUAACAUUUAUUUACUAUUACGGUACUAAUAUAACCUCCUUUAUAUUGUUGUAUAGUAAUCUGGAUACAUAGGUUUCGAUUUUAACAAGACUAUGUUUACGUUCGGGUAUUUUUGAUACGUUAACACAUUAUAAAUUGUUGAUUUUUCUAACUAAAAAGUAAAGAAAUUUUAAUUUAAAAAUAGGCGGCUAUGCAUGUAAAUAAUAAAUACUGAAAGAAAACAUCAAGGGGGAGAUAUGAUUCCCUAAUUUCCCUCCCCCUACUCUCUUAAAUACGUCACCGGCGCUAGUAUCAACGAUGCGCGCCUAUUGGGGACGGGGAGAUCGACUUUCAACCUAUGCCAUAUUUAUUUGUCACGCUCGAAUAUCACCAUUUAGGCGCGGGAAAAAUUUGAAUCUAAUGACGGAGCUAUGCUGCUCACGGGUAUACAAUAUUUUCUCGAUGUUUUUCUUUGAAAGUACUCAUAUUAUAACCGCAGUGCUAAUAAUAUUAUACACCGGGAAAUUAUUAAUAAUAGUGUCUAUAUAAAAACAAAAACCGAAAACGCAUAACGAACUUCGCAAGGACCGGUAAGCUACAGUCGUCAAUACGCGAGAAGUCCGAAAGGUGCACGAUUCAAUAUCAAUUCGAUAUUCAAUUCGAAUACACACAGAGCGACGGUUAAGCCGUUGGCAUCGGAAAUCGAGUGGAAUAACAUUAACCGCGUUUUCUUCCACAGCGCGCAGCGGAGAAACUCGGAUGCCAAUAGGUAGUAAACAUCUUGUGUUGUAUUAUUAACGAUUGCGCGAGCGCGUAAAUCCGUACACCGCAAUUACUGAAAUACUCGAGUUUCGCCGAAAAUCGCUUUUGCGAACGCCGCGGCACAACGUGCAAUACAAUUAGAAAUAUACGGCGUCGGCCGGCCGACAACACCGGCUCCCGGCGCAAUUUUCCGUCUACGGCGCCCCCGUGGGAAACGAAAUGUUCCGGGGGGCCUUUGACGUGCCGGUCCGGCACUCGGCGCGCAGUACGUGCAGUCAUUACGCGCAGUGCAUAUGAAGUAAUCGGCCGAGACCUCCGCUCGGCGCGCUUAAACAUCGCAUAGGUCCCCGCGCGCGUUUCCUGCGUUAUAUCAUCCACGCGUCCGCGUACCGUACGGGAACCCCGACGGAAACCAUUGUUGGCGGUCCGCGCGGCGUGCUCCGAAAUGUUUUUUUAGAUUUUAUUUCGUUCGGCUCUUCAAACGCGCGUUGCCCGUUUUGCGUACGCGCAAUAAUAUCACGCGUAGGCGUGUCGCGAGAACAACAGUCGUCGGCCGGGCGUAAUGAUGACAAUGCGACGUAUGCCUGUGUGCGCGCGUACUUUUUUUCAAUGAUCGUUUUCCGCCCAUUUUUUUUCGCCGACCGUUAUAUUGUUACACGAACACUGGAGAAAUCGGCAGUAGUCCGCCGUCCAACAAAACUCCCCUCUCCGCGCAAAACAUAAAAAAAUAAAAAAAAAGUAGACGUGCGUUCGGCACGAUGUUAUGCGCGUAAUAAUUUUACACCCACAUGGUAUAUUAUAAUUACGCGACGGAUGAUAUUUAAUAAAUAUUUGAAAAUAAUAAUAAAAACGAUUGAAAUAUAACAGUUUUGAAUUUAAUUAUUUACAGCGAACGUCGAAACUAGGAAAACGUUAUUUUUGCUACUAUUGUAAAUUCAAUUUCAAAAUUAUCUGUACCAAGCGAGGGGCUUUUGUGUUACAAUCUAUAGAGAUCUCUACGUAUAACUGCGUUUCAGGCAGUUUCAAGCGUUUGUUGUUCUUUUAGAUUCUGAGCGGAGCGAGGAGUAUAUUGAUUUUACAACGAUAUUUAUUUUUUUUUUUUUCUAUGGACAAGUUUUCUACUAGCAAUAUUGCUCCGAUUUACUUUAGGAAAGUAAUUUUUUGAUAUCCCCAACAAAUGGGAAAAACCGGGAAAAACAUGGGACAACCGGUAAAACGUAGGAAAAACGGGAAAAUAGGUACAAUACUUAAAAAUAUUAUCACAAAAAAUGUAUAGUGGAUAUUAUAUGAUUUACAAUUAAAGUAUUUAUUGCUUUACACAAAGCGGUAUUCUUAUAUUUUAGAACUAUACUAGUUAUGUUUUCGAAUUCUGAUUAACCACACUUAAAGCCUACUUUACAGCUCUCGCAAUACAAAAUAGUCCAUCGCCUCUCAAACCAUCCUUUUAAAUGAAAUACUUGAUUUCCAAGACUCGUAAUAUUUGUAUUUUUUGUCGAUGGUGUAUCAUCGCCAUGUAAUAAUUUAUCGUGGGCAUCUGCAGUGUAAUACAUCUCAAUCAAAAAUACACUUUAACUUAAAGUUAAGUUUUAAAUGGCGACUUUAAAAAUAGUUAUGGAAAAAAAGCUUGGUAGUAUACUAGUUUUAUCUCGUCUAUGACGACACGAUCUUAUUUGUUAUUACAAAAUACAAAAUAUUAUUUGUUAACUUGAUAUAACAUUUGUGUGUACAAAAAUAGACAUUUAACACUUAAAAAUUCCUAGUUUUAAUAUUUUUCCUUUAUAUACUUAGAGGAAAUGAAAAAUCCUAGAAUUAGGGAUGAAUCCCUGGAGUCCCGACAAUGGAAAACACAAAUACACUACGUAAAAUAUAUAAAGUGUGGCGUUUAGGUGGAAAUUAUUAGAGAUUAAAUACGAAUAACAAUAUUAUUUUCGAGAUAAUAAAUUUCGAGAUUAUUUCCGAGAGUGGUGCGUCGCUAUUUUCUAAAAUUUCGAGAAAACAUAAAAUAUUUCAGCCGUAUGUAUACUUUUGGAAUUUUUUUUUUUUUUUUUUAAUAGCGGCACUUUUUUUUUUGUGUAUGAGAAUAUUUUCGAAAUAAAAUGCGACAAACGCCCCGUUGAAAAUAUUCUCCUCUUAAAAUUUACAGUAAUUUACAGUAGUUUAAACUGCAAUUUCAAUCUAAACGCCUACAAUGUACGGUUCUACAAGCAACGUAAUUUCGUUAUGUCACCCGUUGAUUGAACUGAGAUGGCGAAUAACGGUCGUUAUUUUUCGGUGUACAUCAUAAAAUAAUAUUAUUAAAACCACUCAGUCGCCGUAUUAUAAACAAUAAUAAUAUUUAUGUUCAAUAAUAGUAUGGCUAUUUUAAUAUAAUAUCAUAAUUGUUGCGUUUAAAAUGACAAACGUCGAAUAUUAUACUUAAACGCCUAUUCGAAAGAUAUAUUUACACAACCAACAUAGAAAUGCAGUGCGUAUCGGUUUUGCGUAGGACGUGAGUAAUAAUAAUAGUUUAGGUACGGAGGAUGCGUUUAUAAUAUUUACCUAAAGCGGAGUGGACCGUCAAUUAUUACAAGUCAUGUUUUUAAGUAUAACAUUGUACCUAUGGUUUUAUCGUAAUUUACAGGGUUCGGAUUGGGCGGGGGCAAAGUCUGCGGGAGGAUGGAGCUCUUCUAUUUUUUUUUUUUUCUUUUUACAAAUAAUUAUAUUUUCAAAAAACAAGUCUCACCAACUCAUACGGAUUGUCAAUUAUUUCAAACUUUAAUGUUUAUCGUUGUUCAGCUAUAAACUAUUAUUACUAUUGUAUUUACUUUCGGCAUUGCACUUUGUCUUGUAUGGUAUUAAUUAAUGUAAGACGUCUGUGAAGUUAGCCCCUACACCACGGCUGAUUCGUUCCGAACCAAUUAUAAGUUGUAGCCCUUUAAUUAGAAGUAAAUACAAGUUGAAAAUUAAAAUAAUUUUAAAAGAAACCUAUCUACAAACAUAGACGAUAAUCUUGCAUUUAAGUUUUGAAAAUAGGUCAGUUAGCACUAAUAUCAAUACUUAUAGCACGCAAUUUGUCCUGCUGAACGCAAAAUUGUUAUGCCAUGCGUUUAUCAGACGGAGACAGUGUACGUGGGUGGUGUGCAUGACGUCUAUUUUAGAGCAAAGAAGUUGUUUCGUUUCUCCUGAAAAUGGAAAAUGGACAUAUAGACAGCCUUUGUAAUAUAGUAUUGCAAUUUUAUUGUUGCCCGUACAAAUCGAAUAUUUACUGCGUUUCCGCAUAUAAAAAUAAAAUAUAAAAAAAAAUAAAAAUCAAAUUGAAACUGUUCACGGGGUUAGGUGUUGUAAGUGGGUAGUUGAAAAGUAGGAUACAUUCAGAGUAAUUUAGUUUAUAUGUAUCACGCAACGAUUUUGAGUGGAGUAGUAUUAGCCGUGUAACCAGUGUAAUUAAAAAUUUAAAUACCUUCUAUAAUAUUUUUAAACUAAUACUCCAUCUAUUUAUGUCAUUUUUAAUAUAGGUUGUUAUUUAAAAAUUAAAUGUAAGUAUCUAGUCUAUUUUCACCCUCAAAAAUAAAGAUGACAAAAGUGAUGGUAAUGUCAAUAUUCAAAAUAGUUUAAAAAAAAAGGUAAUUAUUAUCAAACGAUUUAUUUUUCUUGAUGUAAUAUAAAUGAUCCCUCUACCUCGGUUUUUCCAAAUGUUCCCCCUUGGUUAAAAUCGUCUGAAAGAAACACUGAAUCCAAUAUAUCGAUAUUUUGUCAUUUUUAAAAUUUUGUAGAAAACUGUAGGGAAUUUAGACAUUUUUUUGCAAAUAAACAAGUACUAACGAACGAAAAGUCUACGAAAAUCCUUUAAAGUACGAUAAUUUGGAAACUUUUCUGAUGAACCGAAAAAGCAUUUUCGAAGAAAAAAUACCAAACUAUUGAACUACAGAGGGUAAACUUCGAUAAGCAUUUCGAAUAAAGGACCACCGGAUGGAAAUGUCGCGUCUUUUAAAGGUAUUUUACGAACAAAUUUGAGCAAUUUUACUAUAAAACCAAAACACUGCGUAUAGUAAUACGCUGAUAUAUGUAUAGCUUCUUCGCUAUACACUCGAAUUCUAAAAAAUGAUAUCAUAUUAUGUAAUAUCGUCGUAACGAUAACAUAUUUUACAACAUUAUUCAGUAAAGUAUUAUAAUUAUUCACCACGUUAUUUAUUAUAAAUUAUUAUAUACGCGAUUGUAAAUAUCAACAAAACUAUGUACAAUAUAUUAUAAUAUUAUAUUAUGUUUAUAACGCUAUCACGUCACAGUAUACAAAUUAUGAUGUUUCAGUUAAACCUGUUCUGUGGCUGAUAGAACGAUAAAAAAAAAAGAAAAAACAUAAUUCGAGUUUGUUUCUGAG
rnacentral:lncRNA from 1 species